UCACUUCUUCCACUUUUCAUGCUCCAGUCACUUCUUCUGCAGGUUCUCUCUCUUCCUCUUCUUCUUUCUUAUUUGUUCCUCUACCUCUCUCUUCCUCUCCCCUUUUUCUCUCUUCUGCUUCCUCUCUCUUAUUCUUCUUCUUUUUUCUCUCUUUCCUUUCUUCAACAAAAAUGAUAAUUUAUCAUUCUCUACUUAGAUCUAUGAAAAACCGAUGAUUAUGUUGUUGAUUAUAUUUGUUGUUGUUAUUGCAGGUUUCGAUCAAAUGCGGAUCUCCUCUUCCCUUUUGAUUUUUCAAAUAUGUCUUAGAUUUGAAGUUGGGAAAUAAUGGAAAGGUCGUUAAACGUUGUUCCUCUCAUUUUUCAGUUUAUAUGAGUCUAUAUGAAAGCCAGUGAAACUCUUAAAACAGUACGAUCUGUUUUUGUAACUUCAUCGCUAGAGAGAAAGGAAUCGACAGCAAAACCUGAGAAAAAUCCUCAAGAAGUUGAAAGCUUAGAGAAGCCAGAAGAAGAAUAGCAGUCAAAUAACGGUGGAUAUAGGAUAAGUACCAUGACUAAUUAUAAUAUUGUUGCCUCCGCUACUUCUUAUCUGCACGCUCAUACAAAUAGCAUACUUCCGUUCAAAUAUUCAAAUACGGUGGCCGGUGAAGGAAGCAAUGAAGGUCUUAACAUGACGAACCCUUAUGUGACAUCUUUGAUUUCAAUAGUUGAGACUUAUUGUAAAAUGAAAUUUUAAUUUCAAGAUUUUUUUAAUUUAUUUUUUUAACUACCAAUCAAAAGAAAAUUAUCACUUUUUGGUGCAGGAAAAUAAAAGAGAUUAAAAAUAGAAUAACUUAUAAAUUUUCUUUUUUUAACAUGUG